rnacentral:misc_RNA from 1 species
AGAGAAGAAUUGACUGAAAUCUUGAUAUUUCUUUGAUAGUCUUCUAUUACACCCUCUUCAGUUAUUUAUACAACUUCUCUUGCCCAACUAAUUGUUCCCGCCAACUAUAACAGCUACUUGACUUAUCUAACUACCUCAUCCCGCUCAUCUCAACUACAUCCUUCUCAUUUUACUCUCUUCACCGUAAAAUUACAGCCCUUUAUCCCCCUUGUUAGUAAUCAUAACAUUCCCCACUUCAAAUCAUUCUUGUCCUCAAUAAUAAGGGAAGCUGAAAUAUAACACUGAAACUGUUGCCUCCAUAUCCAGAAAACUACCAGCAAUGUUCAGCAGCAAGAAAAUAACCACAAAGAAUCAAAAGAUGUCAAUGUAUUCCAACAUUUUGGGUUUCCUCUUGCGUGAUUUCAGGAAAGACUUCUGCCGCUGCAGCACAAUGAAGCAUAAUGUUGACUCCACUCAAAUAUACCAGCACCAGCAUGCCAAUCAGUUUCCUUCGUCAUAGUUGCCUUUCUUUCUCUGCGUUCUCCAUCUUUCAAAUACAUCUUCUUUAAGAAUUACAGAUGCAACUUUCUUCAAAAGUAAUUUCUUCUUCAGCCUUCUCAAUAUCUCUUCUCCAUGGAAAUUAGGUAGUCACAAGAAUAGAACUCAUAAUCAUGGACCUCUAGAAUUAGUAAGCUCCAUCCAUCCCAUUACUCCAAGAAAUUUCAGGUUUACAUACUGUAGGUUGUGCAGCUUGAAUAGACUCCUUCAAUAUUGCUAUUUUCUGAUCCAGCACUUCUUUCUAACUGAGGCAAAAUCAUCCUUUGUGUCAUUGAGCGAAGGGCUCUCACUUCAGAUUCAGCUCCAUGAAGCUGUUGCACAACAGCUGUAGCCUCCUCUUUUGCAUUCUCCACUUCAGAUCUAAUAGAUGCAACUUCCUUAUCCACCAUAUUAUUUUGUUUUGCUUCCUUGAGUGCAGCCUCUCUUUGUCGCAAAGCAGCUUCCUUUCUGCAGAUGGAAGUGCAGCAUGUCAUAACAAGAACAUUAAGAAGAAAAAUAGACAAUCAUCAAUGAAGUUGUUAGAACAACAACUUUCCUGCUCAAUAAUUUAGCUUCCAAAGAUACUCCUUCGCCAAGAGCAGCAACCUGCUUCUGAAGCUCUUUAACUCUGGCCUCUGCUUCCUUGCAUCUCUCUUCCUCAAGCCUGAGCUUCUCAAGGAUGUUCUCAUUCUCUUCUUGUAGCAUAUCAAGUUCAUCACGAAGAGCAGAGGCCUCGCGCUGAUCUCCUGUAUCUUUAGAGUUAAAGUGUCCCACAUCUGAUGAGAAUCUUUUACUGUCUCUCUGCCCGUUUCUGGGAGGCUCCAUUGGUGGUAAAGAAACCGCAGUCCUCAGUGAUCCUUUACUGGUUGGCAGCGGCGGUGCUGUUCGAAAGGAAAUUGAGGACCUUCCAGCUGAUGUUGAACGAACCGAUGGAGUUUCCUCUACCAUGUUCCGAGAUAAGGCAGGGGAAGGAGAUCUAGUGAUCCAGCUAGAUGGAACCGUAGGUUUAGUAUUAGUAGUAGCAGCAGAGUUAAGAUUCCUAGAAAGAGAGAGAGGAGGUGGUGCACUAUAUCUAAACCCUAGAUCGUCACCAUCGUCCUCGUCAUCGUCAGUGGUUUGAGAAGCCAUGACCUGAGCCAAGCGCUGAGCAGCUGCUUUGGCAGCGAAAUUUUGGUUUCUCUUGACGGUGGAAAGUCCGGUGACAGAAGAGGAGCGCGAGUGGUGGUGACGUCCAGGCGACAUUACCACCGGAGAUGACGGACCAGUGCCAGCAGAGGCGCUGGGAUCGCUGCUCCAUUGGCGCGAGUAGAUGGGGCUGUCGGUUCUGUUCCGGUCCAUAAAAGAGAAAAGCGGAGACAGUGAGCGAGGGAAAUGAUUGAUGUCUGAAAAUUGAGGAAUGCCUAGAUCUGCGUGCAAUAGAGAGAGAUAAACGCACGACGUUGGAGGGAGAAACAAGCGGAGAGAUGUCAGUAUCCGUCUCACUCUCAAGACCAUCCACAGAAGCUGGUCUUGGAAGUGCGCGCGUGCAUCCUGUACAAAGGAAACAAGACAGAGAUAUGCUUUUC